GCAGCACAACACAGAACAGCCAAUCACCAGGCGGCACUACACAAACAAGCCAAACACCAACCAGCCAAUCACCAGGCAGCACUACACAAACCAGCCAAUCACCAGGCAGCACUACACAAACCAGCCAAUCACCAGGCAGCACAACACAAACCAGCGAAACACCAGGCGGCACAACACAAACCAGCCUAACACCAACCAGCCAAUCACCAGGCAGCACUACACAAACCAGCCAAUCACCAGGCAGUACAUCACCAACCAGCCAAUCACCAGGCAGCACAACACCAACCAGCCAAUUGCCAGGCAGCACUACACAAACCAGCCAAUCACCAGGCAGCACAACACAAACCAGCCAAUCACCAGGCAGCACAACACAGACCAGCCAAUCACCAACAGAGAAGGCAGCCGACAAAGAAGGCAGCCAAUUACAGACUGAGAUCCCACCACCUAGCCAAUCACAGAAGAAGAAGAUAGCGCCGAUCCACUCCCCAAUCAGCUCACCAGAAUCCAGCCAAUCACCAACCAACACAGUGUCAGCAAGCCACGUACCAGCAACAAACCCAAAACCUACCCAAUCAUCAUCUCGCCAGACACCAUUAAACCGAUCAACACUCACCUCAACAUCCAACCAAUCAGCAACCAGUUUAACACCAGCUAAUCAAUCCACAACCAACUUGGAAACAAACCACCACAACUCAUCUGGCUUCACAUCCCAAUCACUGUCAACGCCCUCCAACCAAUCACAGACCAGCUCAGUGCCGUCCAACCAAUCAUCCUUGGGUUCAGCGGUCAGCGGAGACGGACGUCUGGUUAACGGUUCACUGCUCGCCGGGCAGGCAAAGGAAGCCCCGAGGUCAUCGAUUCGUAGGACCCAAGAGACGUGUUGGUCCUCCUGCC
ensembl:lncRNA